rnacentral:rRNA from 1 species
GAUGAACGCUGGCGGCGUGCCUAAUACAUGCAAGUCGAGCGCACAGACCAGGCGCUUGCUCCUCUGACGUUAGCGGCGGACGGGUGAGUAACACGUGGAUAACCUACCUAUAAGACUGGGAUAACUUCGGGAAACCGGAGCUAAUACCGGAUAAUAUAUUGAACCGCAUGGUUCCAUAGUGAAAGACGGUUUUGCUGUCACUUAUAGAUGGAUCCGCGCCGCAUUAGCUAGUUGGUAAGGUAACGGCUUACCAAGGCAACGAUGCGUAGCCGACCUGAGAGGGUGAUCGGCCACACUGGAACUGAGACACGGUCCAGACUCCUACGGGAGGCAGCAGUAGGGAAUCUUCCGCAAUGGGCGAAAGCCUGACGGAGCAACGCCGCGUGAGUGAUGAAGGUCUUCGGAUCGUAAAACUCUGUUAUUAGGGAAGAACAAAGGUGUAAGUAACUAUGCACGUCUUGACGGUACCUAAUCAGAAAGCCACGGCUAACUACGUG